rnacentral:lncRNA from 1 species
CCGGACCAUCGUCGGAGGUGUCCGGGACCGCCAGACCCUCGUCUGGAGCGACUGAGACACCUGGACCAUCAUCUGGAGUCUCUGAAACAACUGGUCUCAAAGGUGCAACCUCAGAAACAAGUGGAUCGUUACAUAACAUCACCCCUCAUGCUGAAAGAACAACUGUGCUCUCACGAAUACAGAUUAGCACACCUGAAGGCACAACUGCAGAACCAUAUGGAAAAAUCCCUGAAGCAGGUGAAAACACGACUAUAUUAACCACACCUGGAAAAUCAGGUUCCACAGGAGCCACCCAUGGUUCAAAAAUUGUGGCAGGAAGUUCCAAUACUCAGGCCACAACUUCCACAGAAGGUGCUGGCACCUCUGGAGGCAGAUUCAGAACAGCAGGUACGACUGUAGCGUCAGAAAGUAAAGUCACUGGGAGUGAAACAGGCACCACCGGAGUGGUCCCCAGCACAACUGUUGCCCCUGGCAGUUCCAACACAGAGGCCACAACUUUCCUGGGAGGAAGUGAAAUAACCAGAGUGGGAAUAGCCACAGGUACUACUGGUAUAGUUUCUGGAAAAACUCUAGAGCCUGGAAGUUACAACACAGAGGCCACAACUUCCACAGGAGGACGUGGCAGCACCCAGGCAGAACUUCCAG